rnacentral:lncRNA from 1 species
UAACAACCAGCUAACUUCAGACUACACAAGCAGAUUAAUGCAGCAGCGACAGUACAAAUACAACAGUUCAAACAAUUGCCAAUCCCUAACUGAAGCAGAUUGACAGCAGUUUCAGUAAACUGUUUUUCAGACUGUUCCCCAACACCAGAUCAGAUCAGUAGGAAGUUUGGGACAUGGACGGCUCACCUGGCGUCCCGCCUGCGAAGACGACGAUGUGGAGUUCCUGGCGGCUGCGGGACAGGUCGACGACGAGUGGAGUAAGGCGUCCGAAAGUACCGGCUUCGACGCACAUGGCGAGGUUGGAGACGUCCAUGAGGGCCUCCAGCCGGCGGGCUAGCUUUUUCCUCAGGUUGAACACGGACUUCCCCCUGAACACGAACAUGGCGCGGCGGUGGUGGAGAGGCGGAGAGGGUG